CCGGCCGGCACAGUCUGUGCCCGCCUCCCAUUACGCGCGUUCGUUCCAAUAGAACGCAGCCAUAGCCUAGCGAACUUUUUCGUAAAUACAUUUUCCCGCCAAGCUUUUAAUGGUGUUCUGUUUUUAAAAUUCCGGUGUGUUCGUGAUUGUUGUGUGCCAGAAUUAUUUUUUGUGUGAAUUAUCUGUGGAUGCGUGAUGUGUUGUGCGGUUAUUGGGAAUUUAUUGGAAUAGCAGGGCCUCCUUUUGGAUUUCGCGGAAUGGAUUACCGUGUGACCUUUUGGAAAUUUUACAUAUGAGCAAGCGAACGCGCCCGUGACUUCCGUUUCCGGCGGCGCGCCUGCGCAGCAUCCGCGACCAGUAGACCGUCGCGCCUGCCAAUACUGUCAUGCAUCGGUAGCGUGGUGAGCGGCGUCGGCGACGCGUGCCCGGAAGCGUCACGGCCGCGUGAAGACCGGAAAUGGGCAGGAUGACCGGAUCCUAUCUCCGCUCUCCUGCCUACCUGCCCACCAUGUUGUGACGUCACCUCGCCCCAGCGCACGCUUCGCACAAUACCAUACAUUCUGCUCAGAUUUUGGACUUGUUCUGUCAAACCAGAAACGGUUUUCCCGGUCGAAUUUCGAAUUCAGAAUUUGAAUGUUCAUUCGGUUUAUGAAAAUCAGAUAUGUAAAUGUAACAAGGAAACAUACACUGUCAUAACAAGCUGGAGGCAAACAAUCGCCACUCGAGUUGGCGGAUCUCGCUAAAACGUGCACACUGCCAAACCUGAGUUUGCCGAAGCAGAACAUCCACCGGUUAUCAUUGCGGGAGUAUAUAAUUGUUGGCAAUUUCGCGUCUCCAUUCAAGCCGUGAAUAGCAACCAUUAGGCAGAACCCUCCAUGCGCCCUCCUCAGCUAAUAAGUGCAUUUUCCUUUACAGGACUCCUUAGUGCCAUAGUUAAAGCCUCUACUUUUAAAAAAUGGCCGUCUCCGCCAUUUUACAUUCAACUGGAUAUUAAAAUGAUUGUUAAUUGUAGUUAUUAAGCAAUUCAUUUAAUUAAUAGUGAGAAUAAAGUGCUUCGUAAUUAGCAA